UACAGAGGUCUCAAGCGUUGUUCGGAUUCAUUGGGCGUAAAGGGUGCGUAGGUGGCGCUGUAAGUCGGGUGUGAAAUUUCGGAGCUUAACUCCGAAACUGCAUUCGAUACUGCGGUGCUUGAGGACUGGAGAGGAGACUGGAAUUCAUGGUGUAGCAGUGAAAUGCGUAGAGAUCGUGAGGAAGACCAGUGGCGAAGGCGGGUCUCUGGACAGUUCCUGACACUGAGGCACGAAGGCCAGGGGAGCAAACGGG
rnacentral:rRNA from 1 species